AGCGAACGCUGGCGGCAGGCCUAACACAUGCAAGUCGAACGAACCCUUCGGGGUUAGUGGCGGACGGGUGAGUAACACGUGGGAACGUGCCUUUAGGUUCGGAAUAACUCAGGGAAACUUGUGCUAAUACCGAAUGUGCCCUUCGGGGGAAAGAUUUAUCGCCUUUAGAGCGGCCCGCGUCUGAUUAGCUAGUUGGUGAGGUAAAGGCUCACCAAGGCUACGAUCAGUAGCUGGUCUGAGAGGAUGACCAGCCACAUUGGGGCUGAGACACGGCCCAAACUCCUACGGGAGGCGGCAGUGGGGAAUCUUGCGCAAUGGGCGAAAGCCUGACGCAGCCAUGCCGCGUGGAUGAUGAAGGUCUUAGGAUUGUAAAAUCCUUUCACCGGUGAAGAUAAUGACUGUAGCCGGAGAAGAAGCCCCGGCUAACUUCGUGCCAGCCGCCGCGGUAACAC
rnacentral:rRNA from 1 species